AGAGUUUGAUCAUGGCUCAGAAUCAACGCUGGCGGCGUGCCUAACACAUGCAAGUCGAGCGAGAAAGGGGCUUCGGCCCUGAGUACAGCGGCGCACGGGUGAGUAACACGUGGGUAAUCUGCCCUAGAGUGGGGAAUAACACCGGGAAACCGGUGCUAAUACCGCAUACGAUCGCGAUGUCUUCGGAUGUUGUGAUGAAAGGAGCAAUUCGCUCUUGGAGGAGCCCGCGGCUGAUUAGCUAGUUGGUGAGGUAAUGGCUCACCAAGGCAACGAUCAGUAGCCGGUCUGAGAGGACGGUCGGCCACACUGGAACUGAGACACGGUCCAGACUCCUACGGGAGGCAGCAGUGGGGAAUUUUUCGCAAUGGGGGCAACCCUGACGAAGCAACGCCGCGUGGGUGAUGAAGUCUCUUGGGACGUAAAACCCUUUCGACGGGGAAGAAACCGCAAGGUUGACGGUACCCGUAGAAGAAGCCCCGGCUAACUCCGUGCCAGCAGCCGCGGUAAUACGGGGGGGGCGAGCGUUGUUCGGAAUUACUGGGCGUAAAGGGCGCGUAGGCGGUUCGCUAAGUUGAAUGUGAAAACUCUGGGCUUAACCCAGAGCCUGCAUUCAAUACUGGCGGGCUAGAGUUCUGGAGGGGAUAGCGGAAUUCCUGGUGUAGCGGUGAAAUGCGUAGAUAUCAGGAGGAACACCGGUGGCGAAGGCGGCUAUCUGGACAGAGUCUGACGCUGAGGCGCGAAAGCUAGGGGAGCAAACAGGAUUAGAUACCCUGGUAGUCCUAGCCCUAAACGAUGGAUACUUGCUGUGACUGGGAUUGAAUCCAGUCGUGGCGAAGCUAACGCAUUAAGUAUCCCGCCUGGGGAGUACGGUCGCAAGGCUGAACUCAAAGGAAUUGACGGGGGCCCGCACAAGCGGUGGAGUAUGUGGUUUAAUUCGACGCAACGCGAAGAACCUUACCUGGGCUC
rnacentral:rRNA from 1 species